CGUAAAUAAAAAAAAUUUCCUUAUUUCUCAACCACACAUUUCACAUCAAUUUACUAUUCCAAAAUACAUUUUUACAUAAAAAUGUCUAUUAAACACUCCCUAAAUAUAAGCACAUAAAGAGCACAAGUUGCCCCCAGGGCACAUUUCCAAGUGGUAAAAGAGGAAGGUGGAGAAAUUCAGUUUUGCUUGAGGCUGCUGCAUCAAUGGUUCGAAUCCUGAAAUAUGGAUUUGGCUCUUGAGUAAGUGCAAGUGUAGAAAUAGUCUUCCACCCUGUACCAUUGGAGGUAUAACCUGAGAUUUACCUCCCUCACAGUGCUCCAGGACAGAGGUGGUGAGGAACCCUUAAGGUUAGGGUUUAACCUAUGCACAAAGAGCACAAGUUAGAUAAUAAACGAUAAAACCAUCUUUACCUCGGGUUUAUUAAUAAAUUCCACCGGCUUAAUCCCUUCAAUCCAUAUCCCUCCAUUAUUUAACCAAUUUCUUUUCUAAUUUAUAACAACAAAUAGGAAUUUACAAUUGCCAUAAAUUAAAUGAGAGAAAAUCCAAAGAGAGAAGUAUUCCGUUUUCGCUUCGUGGAAUAUGCAGAAAUUCAAGAAAAAUCAAAGACAUGUUUGAUUGGUUAAGCCAUAAAAUCAAUUUUGGUCGAGUUUUGUAGCAAAAUACAUCUGACAGAUUGACCUGCUCUUCCAGUUCUAUCUCUUAAAACUCAAACUUGGAUAUUUUGAAUUGCAAGAGAAUGUAGACAGCGGCCGACCUUAUUGAUUUUGCAAGGAUGAAGAAUCCCUAAUGUUUGAGAAUUUGAGAAGAAACGGGGAUUGGUGAAACAGGCAAGUGUUGAGGCAGAGA
rnacentral:lncRNA from 1 species